UACGGAGGCAGCAGGGGGGAAUAUUGCACAAUGGAGGAACUCUGAUGCAGCGGCGUCGCGUGAGGGAAGAAGGUUUUCGGAUUGUAAACCUCUGUCUUUGGGUGAAGAAAAUGACGGUAACCAAAGAGGAAGCCACGGCUAACUACGUGCCAGCAGCCGCGGUAAUACGUAGGUGGCAAGCGUCGUCCGGAAUUACUGGGUGUAAAGGGAGCGUAGCGGGGGGAAUAAGUUGAAUGUUAAAACUAUCGGCUCAACCGGUAAGCAGCGUUCAAAACUAUUUCUCUUGAGUGGAGUAGAGGUAAGCGGAAUUCCUAGUGUAGCGGUGAAAUGCGUAGAUAUUAGGAGGAACACCAGUGGCGAAGGCGGUUUACUGGGCUCUAACUGACGCUGAGGCUCGAAAGCGUGGGUAGCAAACAGGAUUAGAUACCCUGGUAGUCCACGCUGUAAACGAUGAUUACUAGGUGUGGGGAGGUCAAACCUUUCCGUGCCGGAGUUAACACAAUAAGUUAUCCACCUGGGGAGUACGACCGCAAGGUUGAAACUCAAAGGAAUUGACGGA
rnacentral:rRNA from 1 species